AUUGAACGCUGGCGGAAUGCUUUACACAUGCAAGUCGAACGGCAGCACGGACUUCGGUCUGGUGGCGAGUGGCGAACGGGUGAGUAAUGUAUCGGAACGUGCCCAGUCGCGGGGGAUAACGUAGUGAAAAUUACGCUAAUACCGCAUACGAUCUAUGGAUGAAAGCGGGGGAUCGCAAGACCUCGCGCGAUUGGAGCGGCCGAUAUCAGAUUAGGUAGUUGGUGGGGUAAAGGCCCACCAAGCCAACGAUCUGUAGCUGGUCUGAGAGGACGACCAGCCACACUGGAACUUAGACACGGUCCAGACUCCUGCGGGAGGCAGCAGUUGGGAAUUUUGGACAAUGGGCGAAAGCCUGAUCCAGCCAUUCCGCGUGCAGGAUGAAGGCCCUCGGGUUGUAAACUGCUUUUGUACAGAACGAAAAGGUUUCUACUAAUACUAGGAGCUCAUGACGGUACUGUAAGAAUAAGCACCGGCUAACUACGUGCCAGCCGCCGCCGUAA
rnacentral:rRNA from 1 species